rnacentral:rRNA from 1 species
GACGAACGCUGGCGGCGUGCUUAACACAUGCAAGUCGAACGGAAAGGCCUGCUUUCCCUUGUGGAUUGCGGGUACUCGAGUGGCGAACGGGUGAGUAACACGUGAGUGAUCUGCCCCCAACUUGGGUAUAAGCCUGGGAAACUGGGUCUAAUUCCCGAUAGGACUGCAGGGUGGUGCCUGUGGUGGAAAACGAUUUUCUAGUGGUUGGGGAUGAGCUCGCGGCCUAUCAGCUUGUUGGUGGGGUAAUGGCCUACCAAGGCGGCGACGGGUAGCCGGCCUGAGAGGGUGGACGGCCACAUUGGGACUGAGAUACGGCCCAGACUCCUACGGGAGGCAGCAGCGGGGAAUAUUGCACAAUGGGCGGAAGCCUGAUGCAGCGACGCCGCGUGGGGGAUGACGGCCUUCGGGUUGUAAACUCCUUUCGACCGCGAGGAAGCCACCUCGUUGGAAGGGUGGUGACGGUAGUGGUAGAAGAAGCACCGGCUAACUACGUG